rnacentral:lncRNA from 1 species
UCACUUUUAACUAUUAAAGUAAAAAAAUACUAAAACUUGAAAAGAAAAUAAAAGGAGACCCUAUUCUCCAGCCCACAUUCCUUUAACCCAGCAAUUCCAUAUCCUUUCCUGCCCGAACUCUACCCCCACCCAACCCGCCACCUUCAUCACGAUUCUCUCUCUCUUUCUCUCCCUCUCUAAAAAAAUUGUAGGGUUAGCGGUAGAUUUGAAGUCCAUAUUCGGGCAACCCAAGGUGGAGGGGCGGCUUACGAUUCAACUACACCGCACCGAUUCCGAUUCAACUCCAUCGAGGCAGUUCCGAUUCUGCCAUGCCACCAUUGCUGAUCCUUUGCACCUCAGAAUCCACAUCACUGAUUCCACUCCAAUCACUGGAAGUCUGGGAGGCCUCUCUCUCUCUCUCUCUCUCUCUCUCUCUCUCUCUCUCUGAACCAAUCCUCUAUUUGCUAUUUGCAAGGGUUUUUUUCUUUUUUUUUUUUUUGGUUUUUUAUUAAUUUCUUUAUUUUUUUUAUUAAUUACUAUUUUGCGUUGGAAAUGACAAAAUCACCCUUAUUUUUAACAUCUAAAUGGAUGGUAUUUAACAAAUUUAACAGUAAGGAGUACAUUGGCCAAUUUUUAUAGUUCAGGGAGUAAAUUGGCUGAAAAAAUAAUUUAGGGGGUAAAUUGACAAUAGGGUGAUAGUUUAAGGGGGAAAUGACAGUUUACCCAAAAGAAUAUUUGACGGCAAAUAUUGACCAAUUUAGUAAGAACCAUAACGGGAUAGCUUAACCGACCGAUACCGAUGUAGGUUGCCGUGCAUGCAAGUUACAGUUGAGUUGAGUGUGAUUGGUCUCCACAUUUCCUGCAGAGGGCAUGUUUGGCUACACCUGGUGUCAAGUAUCUCCUACCUCCCACGUUCAAUAUGUCUGAGAAACAAGCAAAUUCUUCAUUCCUUUGGAUUUGUUUCCUUUUCCCACCAGUUAGUCACAUGAUCAAAUCCCCCAGAGUCUGCUACGACUUCACCUAAUGCAUGCAUUUCAGAUUCUGCAAGGUGCCACUUGUCAUCGCACGAUGGGAUAUUGUCAAAGCUCACCACCACCUUUGACAUAAAACAAUUAAUUAAAUUAUAAGUCGAGAAGCAAUUUUACCAACUGCAAAGCAAAGUGGAGGCGACUGAUCGUGUGCAGUAACAGCGACGACGAUGAUCAUAUGGGGAAGACUGGCAAAACCCAAAUUGUGGAAAAUGGCCCCCAAGUGACGUCGUUGAAUAUGUUUAUGACAUUGAUCCUUGUAGAAUGGUGAAGCAUUUCAAGAAUGUUGAUUUUGCAGUUGUUGACUGCAAGGUUGAAGAUCACUUGAAACUUUUGAAGGUUAUGAACCUCAACCCAAAUGGGAACACAGUGGUAGAAAACAAUAUUGGUGAGACUAUUAAUGGAGGCCCAUUUAUCGAUCAAGUUUUCAAGGAAAAGCCAGGAUUCAAAUAUGUGACCUUACCUUUAGGAGAUGGAAUCGAGUUCACAAGAUUUAACCACUGCUGGUACUCCACUUUCAUCCCUCACUCACUGUAACAUGAUAAAUCAAAGUCACUCAAAGAUGAAAACCCCUCAAAAUAGGCACACAUAUAAUCAGUAUAAGGAGAUAUAUUUUUUGCUCAAAGAAUAACUGAAGAAAAAAAAAAGGAAACAACCAGAGCAAAAUUUCAAAACAUGACCAAAUCCGUGUAGAAUUAAAACAAGCAGCAGGAUUUGGUGACAGUUUCAAUAUGAAUCACAUAAUACUUCUUAUAACUCAAUUAUCGACUAUGUCUUCUUCCAAUUCUAGUCAUUUAGUAGAUUGUUCAAGUUAGCCAUAGUUGAACGCUUAGUGUGCGUAGUACAAUAAGGAACUAACAUGAACACCAAAAGAGCAGAAAGGCUAGCUUAGCUUAAUACCUUUAGAAAAGGCUGACUGCUUCGCUCGCAUGCAUACUGAAUCUACCACUUCAACCUGUUUCCGAGCCAAGUAUUUCUAUCCACUCCUGUAAAACAGAACAAACCAAUAGAUUGCGUAUAGGCGCACUGUCUAUUCAGUUUUUCCAGAGCCUAUAAACUACAAUGUCAAUACUGGAAAGAAAAAUAUUUUCUACCAGAUGAAAACAAAAGUAUCCUCACAAAAACAACUUACAUUGAUCCGGGUGCUCUGCAUCCAAAAACUGAACCCCGUAAAAUUCACUCAACUGUCACUUGAUCCUUUUGUUCAUUAGACUGUAUUAAAAUAGAUUUCAUUUACCAAAACUAAGGUCAGCAAUUGCAUGAUCAUAAAAGCACAAAACAAUAAAUUUGACAGCAAUAAUUCAAACAAAAAACACCAUGUAAACAAGCUACGAUGUCAAAAGAGAAUUAGAAAACACCUCAUUUAGUAAUAGGUAAAUCAAAGUCAAAUUGCGGGUUGAGCAGACUAAUAAUGGAAACAUUUGUACUUAAGCAUUUCAAUAGAACUUCACAACUUCAUAACUUGAAAGCUGUAAAAAUAUUAACUGUUGAUAAUAAAACAUGACAUGAAAUGAACUUCAUUAAUAAUGGAUGACAACGGAAUGUAACAAGAUGUACCUCUACUUGAACUGACUUUUUAGCAUUUAAAGGUUUUUAUGCUGAAUGUAACUUAAUUGAGAAUUGGCCAAGGAAUAUUAACUUCAAAUGACAGUUCAUUCAGAUAUAAGUGAUUGAAAGUAACAAGAUGUACCACUUGUUAAUUGUUAUCCUUCAUCACAUGGCAUCCACCUGUAGCAAGCCAAAACAUGAAUAAAAAUCCAAAACAUUAUGAGUAGGAUGACACAAUGCUCAUUAAAGAAAAAGGAUAUCAAAAGAAGCCGAAACAAUGAACUUCUUCAAAAAGCCCUAAAAACAAAUCAAAUUAUGACAGUUUUAGCUGCUUUUCUUGCAUUGUCAACAAGCUUUCAGUUGAAAACUCUCUCUAAAAAUGGUGUGGACCACCAGUAGGCAAUUGAAACGAAUAUUUGCACCUAACAACAAGUGAUCCGGUCAAUAUAUAUUAAAAGGAAUAUACUAUUUCCCACCUUUCUAGUAUGAAAAUUGCAGCUUAAACCCUUAUAGAAUAAACAAGAAACUCUGUCAAAUAAAACACAGCAACUUAAACUGAAAAAAAAAUUAAAAAAAAUAAAAAAAAUAAAAAAAACCCCAAAACAGCAGACAGGCAGAAAUUGAGAGCUUAUUAAAUAAGAUGGAUGUCAAGACUAAUACAAACUUCAAAUCAAACCAAUUCAACGUCAAUCUGAUCAUCCGCACAUAUAUGAAGAAAUUAGAAAGCUUACUGAAUAAAACAAGAGGCAAAAAUGAGAAUACUCAUAUGAGCAUACUUUACUUGCAAAAGUUAUCUGCAACGUUGCUGCAACUAUAGGACAACUCCAAUUUCUUUGUACAAGCCCGCUCCAGUUCAGCUACAACCAAAACACCAAAUACCACAAGUUUUUCCCAAUAAGAAAAUAAAAACCCUAAAGAAAAUGCAAUCACUUAAACUCUAACCACACCAGAAUGAUUAUGCAACAAGUAAAAGCUUCAAAACCACACGGCAUGCAUAUACUUAAGAAUUUCAAACAUCAAAUCAUUGAAAAUUUUAAAAAUUAAACAUUUCAGAGGAUGAGAGCCUUCGACCAAAUCUGAGUGCGGCACAAGCAUUUCAUCUUCGUCUUGCUGCUGCUAACGAAAGGAACAAAAUCAGAGAUGUGAUUGAGAAAAACAUAACCCUAUCCUACUGAAUCAUAACCCUGGUGAAGCAAUCACUGCAAAUAGGUGAAUUUUCAAAAUUCAAGCCAAUUGAAAAGCACUGAAUGGAACCCGAAACUCUAGGCGAUCAGAAACAAAGAACGAAGCCGGAUGUUAUCGUAUUAGUGAAAAUUUUGAGAGUGGAAAUGUAGAAUAGGAGUUGAUACGUACAUGCAAUUGGGACUCAGUUGCGAGAUUGUGAUUGUGGUUUCGAUUUCAGAACUUGGAGAUGUAAUGGAGUAUGAGGCUUCCAUGGAGUUUGCGAUUUCAAAACUCUAAAAUUCGAUCAUCGAGCUUGAGAUUCGAGUGAUGAUCACAAUUUGGAAAGUGAUUUGGGGAAUUGAAAGGGAAAAGAAAGAAAGUAAAGAGUUUUACCCAUACAAGUGGGGUUCUGGAAAGAAUUUGGAAAGUGAGAAACAUCCUUAAAUCGGUUUGGAAAGAAUUUGGGGAGGUUGAUAUUAAGUGGGGUUCUGGAGUUGGAGGACCCGACUAAGGCACGAGGCUUUUUGCGGGUUAGAUUACUUGUUAAUACGGCUAAUCCGCUGAUCAAUGGCUGCUGGCUGCGACGUGCGUCUAAAAGGGAUACGUGGGUGGAGUUUUGCUAUGAAAGAUUUGUUUGGACCAAAUUUUACAUCAUCGGUCCAUGUAAUCAAGGCUGUUUAGUAAUCAUAGUUCUCAACCGUCGGAUGGAAAGGUGAAAAUAUUUUUGUUAAAGGAUAAUAUUAUGGUUUUUAUCAUAAUUAUCUUUUAAUAAAUUAUCUUAGUUUUCUUGUACAAAAUAAAUUAUAGAGAUUCUUGGACUCUUCACUUGGCUUAACAUGGAUCUGCAAGCCGAAGAUAAUGGUGGAUAGGACCUAAGCGAGCUAGGAUGUUGUCAGAUGAUGGAAGGCUUGCAUGCCGUGUGAAAAGCUACAAGUAUAUAUAUAUAUAUAUAUAUAUAUAUAUAUAUAUAUAUAAUGGUGGUUAUUUUGAUGGGAUUAAGCUUUGAUUGAUGUGAUAAGAUCUAAGGAGUGACUGUAGGUGUAUAAAACAUAAAGUGGUCAGAGUUUUAUUUAUUAUGAUUAUACAUGGGAUAAAUGAGUGGUCAGCAGCAACAGUUAGAAAGUUGAAGUCACGAACUACAAUCUGAGGUUAUGCUUGGCUUUUGACGCGGAUCAACUUCAGGAAUUAGAGUUGCAAUUAAACUCUACAAUAUUAUCAGACCUUGCCAAGCAGAAAAAUGAAUACUAUAAAUACAAGAUUCGGUGCAACAUUCAAAGGACCUCCAAUUCAACACACAAAACUGCCCUGUGCAAACCCUCUCAACAACUUUGAGAUUUUUUUUAAUUUUCUUUUUCGCCAACACAUCUUCAGUUUGGAUAAACAACAUUGUUGCCGUAGAAUCAGCCGACCGCGGAGCACCUUCAGUUUGGAUAAACAGCACUGUGUCGAGGCCGACUGGUUAUCUAUCCAAGUCUCGGUCGAGAAGGAUUUUCGAAUCCUUAUUGGCAGAGGUCAUCUCAUUAGCCUUUUCGGCGAAGUGAGGUGUUACAAGUUAUUACAUUCGGCACAUUGAAAGUCGAAUUUGAUAUUGAAAUUCGCAGAACUAGCAACCUUGUCUUCAGGCUCUAAAACCCAAAGGCCGAGAGUGUUCCUUCCUUAGCCGCAGUCGCAAGAUUCAGAACUCAGCAGCGCACCCAACGCAACAUCAACAAAUUUUACUCCUCGGCCGAGGUCGGCCAACGAGUUGGCACGCCCCGCACAUAACCGAAUGACGUAGUUAGCUCAUAGAUUACUCGGCCUGCGCGCCACGUAGGCUUGGUAGUUUUUAGGGUCAACAUUUUGGCACCCCCAGUGGGACACAGUGCUAAAACUACAAAGUUCACAUGAUAUAUCUCGAUCAGGCUUCAUGGGAUGAGUUUCAUCGCCUAUUAAAGGAGCAAAAACAGCGUUUCAAGAGAUGGGGUCGAAUUUCUGAAAGGCAAAAGGUCUGGGGUCAAAUUUCCAAUCCGGCCACAAUCAAAAUUCGGACUCAGCACAUUGUCAAGAUGACCGAAGAAACACCUAGACCAUUUGUUGUUUUGGUCAAGAUUGCAAGUUCGGUUGGCCUAGAAAAAAAAGUUCAAGUUUCUAAGCUAAAAAUCGACUUGGAAAAUGAUUCGUCAGAGGAGUGCUCUAAUGACGAACAAGGCCGAGACAUAGACCUAGCCGGAAAGACCACGCCAAUCGAUAUGAUUAUUGGCGAUAAAGACGAUUUAGAGAAAUCCCAUUCGGCUAAGUUGUUCGAGUUAAAAGCCGAAAUCGGCGAAAUUAUUAUGCCAAUUGUUCAACACAUUCGGUGGCCGAUGUUAAAAAAUCUUUUGUCAAGCCGAGCAUAUUUGGAGAUGAUUUUUUAUUCGGCUUAAUGCAAAAUUUGAUUGGCUAUGUUGAUAUACAAAGAUCUCGGCUUGGAAUAAAACAUCGUUGGCCUCCUCCUCUUUAUUAGUUUGGCCACUUUUGUUUUCUUUUAUUAAGAACAGGAAUAAAUUAUUUUCUUAAUCAUCUGGCUAAUUAAGCCGACACUUAAGAAAAUAAAGGGGGCAACAAGAUGGGGCAGAUUUAUAAAAAAAUAAAUAAAUAAAAUAAAAUCGGUUGUCUAGGCCGAGGCCGAGAGUUAGGAAAAUGCUAUGGUGGCCAUAUAGGUGUUGGCAAAUUCAAAGUCUUGUAUUGCCGAGCUCGGCGAGGUUGGUUAGAAUUGCCGAAGAAAUGGAGGCUUCUCAUCUUGAUGUAUGCACGUCAUGGAAAUAUAUAUAUAUAUAUAUAAGUAUGGGGCUUUGAAAGGUCAAAUCAGUUGAGGAAAGGCUUUAAGCCUAAACCCUAGACUUGAUGGUUGCAGACAUUUUUGGCAGAAUUGGUUGAAUACAUAUAUAUGGCAGUAUCACAUGGAUGUUGUCACAUUGGGAUAUAUAUGUAUAGCAGCGUCACAUCAGGCAGGUUUAUAUAUAUAUAUAUGUUAUAUGCUGAUUGCAUGGCCGACAAAUCACAUCAGGCAAUCUGGUUUACAUGUAUAUAUAGGCAGGCCUGGAGAUUUUUAUUGACCUCGGCCCCAAUUACUUUGGGCCUCGGUCCUGCUCGACCCCAAUUCUUCUUGGCCUUGGCCCUGCUUUAUGAUAUUACCAUAAUAGAGGUGACUUUAAUGCCGAGGAACAAAAUUUGUUUCGGCAAUACGAUGAGAUGUUGUUGGCUAUGAACCAGAUAAUUUCCUUAACCAUUCGGCUUACAGGCCGAAGCUCAAGGAAACUGGGGGGCAAUGUUUGGACCCAAUUUUACACCAUCGGUUCAUGUAAUCAAGGUUGUUGAGUAAGCAUAGUUCUCAACCGUCGGAUGAAAAAGUGAAGAUAUUUUUGUUAAAGGAUAAUAAUAUUAUGGUUUUUAUCUUAAUUAUCUUUUAAUAAAUUAUCUUAGUUUUCUUGUACAAAAUAAAUUAUAGAGAUUCUUGGACUCUUCACUUGGCCUAACAUGGAUCUGCAAGUCGAAGAUAAUGGUGGAUAGGACCUAAGCGCGCUAGGAUGUUGUCAGAUGAUGGAAGGCUUGCAUGCCAUGUGAAAAGCUACAAGUUAUAUAUAUAUGUAGGCUGUAUAGCCUACAUGCAUCUCCCAGACUAUAUAGUUAUAUAUAAUGGUGGUUAUUUUGAUGGGAUUAAGCUUUGAUUGAUGUGAUAAGAUCUAAGGAGUGACCGUAGGUGCAUAAAAGAUAAAGUGGUCAAAGUUUUAUUUAUUAUGAUUAUGCAUGGGAUAAAUGAGUGGUCAGCAGCAACAGUUAGAGAGUUGAAGUCACGAACUACAAUCUGAGGAUAUGCUUGCCUUUUGACGCGGAUCAACUUCAGGAAUUAGAGUUGCAAUUAAACUCUACAAUAUUAUCAGACCUUGCUAAGCAGAAAAAUGAAUACUAUAAAUACAAGACUCGGUGCAACAUUCAAAGGACCUCCAAUUCAACACACAAAACUGCCCUGCGCAAACCCUCUCAACAACUUUGAGAUUUUUUUUAUUUUCUUUUUGCCAACACAUCUUCAAUUUGGAUAAAUAGCACCGUGAAGGCAACCGGCGAACAUUUUCAGUAUGGAUAAACAACACUGUUGCCGUAGAAUCAGCCGAUCGCGGAGCACCUUCAGUUUGGAUAAACAGCAUUGCGUCGAGGCCGACUGGUUAUCUAUCCAAGUCUCGGUCGAAAAGGAUUUUCGAAUCUUUAUUGGCAGAGGUCAUCUCAUUAGCCUUUUCGGCGAAGUGAGGUGUUACAAGUUAUUACAUUCGGCACAUUGAAAGCCGAAUUUGAUAUUGAACUUCUCAGAACUAGCAGCCUUGUCUUCAAGCUCUAGAACCCAAAGGCUGAGAGUGUUCCUUCCUUGGCCGCAGUCGCGAGAUUCAGAAGUCAGCAGCACACCCAACGCAACAUCAAUAAAUUUUACUCAUCGGCCGAGCUCGGCCGAUAAGUUGGCACGCCCCGCACACAACCGAAUGACGUGUUGGCUCAUAGAUUACUCGGCAUGUGCGCCACGUAGGCUGGGUAGUUUUUAGGGUCAACAAGAUUACAAGAUUUUUGUUAUAGGUGUAGGCGUGUUGAUCAUCUUAAUAUUGAAUGUACAUUUGCGAUCAUUUCUGGUAGGAAAGCAAGGUAUGGAGAAUGGACAAAAGCGUUUCCAAUUAGGGAUGAAGUUGUCAUUUUGAGACUUUUAGCUUUGGGGGUGGGAGAAAGAAGGCAAGCUGGUACAGUAAGGGAUGGAGCUCUUUUAACAGACACGAAUUCAGGAAGUGGUUCAAGGCUGAAUCAGCAAAGAAAGGUUCUUCCGUUGACGGCAGGGCCUGCGGAGGCGUCUUAUCUGCAAAGCUGUGCAAUGAGGAAGUGGAGACGAAAGUCGAGACAUCAGGAUGAUAGCAUUAAGUCUCUUUUGAGAGGGACAAACGAUAGAAUUCCAGAGAAGUGGAACACUUUGGGUGGCAUUAUUCCUCAACAGGUUAGACAUGAUCUAUCUCCCCAUGGGGACAGUGAGCAUGUGGUUAUCAGCCCGGAGAUAAAUCAGCACUCAGAGUCUGACCCAGGAUCAACGAGUUUGACAUCUACCAUUGUUAGGAAGGCUAAAGGUAAUUGGUUGACUCCAAGCUCUGUAUUUGCUGAGGCUAGUGGCAUGAAAAUGGGAGUAGUGUUUCAAAGCUGGGAGUUGCUGCAAAAUCCUUUUAAGAAGGUCAAGGGAUUAAGAGAUCAGGGAAACAGUUCUGGGAUGAUGGGUGAAACUUGGCAAGGAAUGAGUGUCCAGGAACGCUGCUUGAUGAUUCAGCGCGUGGUCUAUGCUGAAGUUGAGUCACAUGAGGGUCCUAGUAAGAGCAAUCGUUUGCUGACCCAUUUCGAAGCUGAGUCAGUGGAUGAGCAGCAGUAGAGUGUGACACAGAAAGUGGGCAAUGUGGCUCGGGGUGGUGGCGGCUGGCCCUCAACAGCCGUACAUCUGCCAUGAAUUAUCUUUUCUAGAACUGUCGUGGUCUUGGGUCGGACACGGUAGUUCGGGCUUUUCAUAGGCUUAUAAGAAAUAAUAGACCCUUUAUGAUUUUUCUAUCUGAGACAAAAAUGAAAAGUCAUAGAAUAAAUGGAUUGAGGAGACGUAUGAGGUUUUCGAAUGGUUUUAAUGUGGACCCAAUCAGGAAGAUUCUCUGGAGGUGCACGUUGUUUUCUCAUCAAGGUAUGUAAUUGAUACUAUUGUUAGACUUGACGGAGUCCAGCAGUGGAUGCAAGUAACAGGUGUGUACAGUACAACUUAUACUGGUGAAAAAGCUAGUUUUUUAGAUUGGAUGCAAUCUCAUUUUUCUUCAACGGAUGUUCCCUGGCUUUGUGAUGGUGAUUUCAAUGAAUUCAUUUGGGAUUAUGAGAAAUCCGGAGGGGUGAAGGUUCAUUACAAUAGGCCUCAGUUUCUAACGGACUUUAUGAAUGCCAUCGAUUUGUUUGAUCUGGAGUUCAAAGGCCUUGCCUUUACGUGGAGGGGCUUUAGGCAUGGGGAGUGGGUGGAAGAACAUUUGGACAGGGGAUUAAUUAAUGGUUAUUGUGGCAAGAGGUCUGGCCCAACUUUAUUGCUUUGCAUGGGCCAGUUUUAGGUUCUGAUCAUUGUCCUCUGAUUAUAAAAUCUGAUCUAGAAAUGCCUAAAGGGAGGAAGCUUUUUCGUUUUGAGGCGUUUUAGGCUAAGGAGGAGGAGUGUAAAUUGUUGGUUAAUGAGUGUUGGGCUAGGCGGGGAGAGGGAGGGGUUCCGGUGCAAUGAGUCACUAAAAUAAACGAUUGUAGGUCUCGCCUUAUUCGAUGGAGUCGCAAUAAAUUCAAAAAACGAGGGUAGCAAAUUGAGGAACUUACUCAGCAACUCGGGGUGCUUCAGAAGAAUUGGGGUCCCAAUUUUACUAAAAUUCAGGAGAAGUCUAGUGUUGAUGCACAAAAUCAGCGAGGACUUUGGUACAACAGAAAGUGUCAGGUUUGUGACCUUCGCUUGGUUGCUUCGAUCACUAGUGAAGAUAAGUACGUAAAUGAAUAGGGACAGGGAAGCAAACACAAGAUGUACGUGGUUCACCCAGAUCGGCUACGUCCACGGAGUAGAGGAGUUCUCAUUAAUUGUGAAGGGUUUACACAAAUACAUAGGUUCAAGCUCUCAUUUUGUGAGUUCUAGUGAAUAGUUUAGUACAAAAUGACAUUAGAGAUUAUUGUGGGAGAAUGAUCCCUAUUUAUAGAAGAGAGUUUCUAGUUUUGUUCUAACAUUGACACAUGUCGUGUUGUGAUUGGCUUCUGAUGUUGACAGCUGUGAUUGGCUUCUGAUGUCGACACGUGUCGCAUUGUGAUUGGCCUCCUGGUUGAAGGGAAGCUCUUCUGGGUCCUUGACGGUAUAACGUUGAUCGGUGCUCAGUAGUUUCGGGAUUGGUCAAGUAUGGUACAAACAGUGCUCCCCUAAGUUCCCAAGUGAGGGAAGCUCCUCGGUUGGGGACUUGCAAGAUCCAAGCCAUUGAGUAAUCACGAAACUUCUAAGUACUGAAGUGUGGUAUCAUUUUCACGUGCCUUAUCUGUCUCAUAUGUAGAUGUGGCAUCUUCUCUGGAAGUAUUUUUCCUCCAUCCAUGGGUGGUAUCUUUAACCGAUGAAGAUGCACAAGGUAAUGUAUCAAUUUCACUUGAAGCUUACUUGUAGUUUCGGGCUUGGUCAAGUGCGAUACAAACCCUAUAGUAGGAGUUCCCCAAGUCGCCGAGCUAGGAGAUCUGCCGAAAGAGGUGACAGACAAGGUAAGCAAUCAAACUUCCAAGCAAGCAACCCAGGAUCGGAGGUUCGACUUUGGCUUCCGGUUGAUUGUUCUCCUUCUCUUGUCUCUCAUUCAGCUGCUAGGAUAAGGAGAAGCAAAUGGAGAAGAGAUGAUAUGAGAUACUUUUGCUUUUGAAGAAGUAACUUUCCACAGGCUUAUUCUUGAACUGUGCUAGAGGGUUUUCUGGUUCCCUUCAGAGUAUAAGGCCGACUCAAGAAUUUGAGGGUCAAAACAAGUCCAUCAAAUCUAGAGUACGUUCGACCUUGAUGAUAUGGGAUACUUUUGCUGUUGACGAAAUAAUGAAUGUGGUAUGGAAAGGUGUCGUGCUAUAGUGAUCUGUUUCAGCUCACUGUUGAACCUUCUGCUUCAAUCUUUUGAAUGGCAGAAGUGGUGUGCAACCUUUGCAUUUAAAUGGUCCUUCAGAACAUUCCUUCAUAGUGACUCAUCCACGCUUGGUAGCUUCAGUGUAAAGAGCCAAUAUCUGAUUAACUGUCAUGAGGUAUGUGCCGGUGGAAUUCAUGACCUUGACAGCAGUUGAGGAUGAGUUCUCGAGAGCAAUGCUAAGUAAGCAACCAGGCAAAGGUCUCAGGCAGUCAGUUCCAGAUUGGAGGUUUGAUUUCAGGUUCCGACUGACUGCUCUCUUUCUCUUUGUCCUGCAGGUGUGGACAAGGACGAAGACAAGGACAGGGAGAAAGCAUGAUAUGGGAUACUCUUGCUUUUGGCCCUGAUGAUAUGAGAUACUCUUGUUCUUGGUAUGGCUUAUUUGCUGAGGUAUUAUCGGGGGGAAAUAAAGCUGAGUAUUUCGAGAGGUUAUGUUGAGGGUGCAUUCUCGAAUGCGAGAAAGGGUUGAGCAUUUUUGCAGGUUUGCCUGUCCGUUGAGGAGGGAGGUCGAUGUAUAUAGGGAUUUCCCAAUAACAAGUAGUAAUGCUAUUCCUUUACCCUUCUUGGUCACAACAAUGUAGUGGGAGCUGCCAGCUUCACGUGUUUUAACUUUGUCAGAGCACUUUGAAAAAGUGGUAUGUGGUAUCUGGAAAGCUAAUGUUGCGUGUGAAGAUUAUAGACAAGCUUUAUCUAAGGAAAUCUGGCUCUCGAAGUUCUGAGAGCUGUGCCUCUUCGGUUUUCGAACAAGCAAUCCCGUCGGGGAUCUGGCUCUCGAGAUUCGGAAAACGGUGCCGCUUCGGUUUUUGAGAAAGUAAUUAUGUUGGGAGUCUUUUCUCGAAUGCGAGUAAAGGUUGGACGUUCUUGCCAGCCUGUCUUGCCACAGAACACGGAGGUCGACACAUAUAGGGACUUUCCAGUUGUCAAGCAGUGGUGAUGUUCCUUUACCCUUGUGGGUAAUAGUAGGGUAGCUGGAACUUCGAAAUUCUCGCGCCUAAACUUUGUCAGAGAUCUUUGGCAAAGUUAUAUGUGGUACCCGAGGAGUUGAUGGUGCGCGUGGAGAGUGGUGAUUGAACAACAAGAUUCGCGUGCUUUCUACUUCACCAGAAAUCUUCGACAGAUUGCCCGUAAUUUUCGCAAAGCUGAGUGUGCAUGUGACAGGUGCUGACGAGGCUGAAAAAGCAGGUGCUUCUUCGAUUUCUGAGAUCGGCCCUCGUGGUCUCUGAGUAGCCCAGCUUUUGAGAAAGGAAGCGCCUCUUUGAUUUUUGAGAUCGGCCCUCGUGGUCUCUAAGCAGCCCAGCUUUUGAGAAAGCAAACGCCUCUUCGAUUUCUGAAGCUUCGUCGAGUGCAGAUUUUUAUAGAGGCUGGCAUUAAGUUCCAUAGCACACUUGAAUCUCCACCAGUAGAAGCUCCCUUCUUGCACUUCUAAGAUCUUGAUUUGUCUGACCUCUUCCCUCUUCAACACCUUUGAAAAUGUCUGGCCCCUCCGACCGUCGUUUUGACUUGAACCUUGGAGAAGAGACAGCCACGCCUUCUCCAGACAACAUAUGGCGGCCAUCCUUCAUAUCCCCUACUGGUCCUCUUACCGUUGGGGAUUCUGUGAUGAAGAAUGAUAUGACCGCUGCGGUGGUGGCCAGGAACCUUCUCACUCCCAAAGAUAACAGACUACUUUCCAAACGGUCUGAUGAGUUGGCUGUUAAGGAUUCUCUGGCUCUUAGUGUUCAGUGUGCAGUUUCUGUGUCUAAUAUGGCCCAACGCUUAUUUGCUAGAACCCGCCAAGUUGAAUCAUUGGCUGCUGAAGUGAUGAGUCUCAAACAGGAGAUUAGAGGGCUCAAGCAUGAGAAUAAAUAGUUGCACCGGCUCGCACAUGACUAUGCUACAAACAUGAAGAGAAAGCUUGACCAGAUGAAGGAAUCUGAUGGUCAAGUUUUACUUGAUCAUCAGCGGUUUGUGGGUUUGUUCCAAAGGCAUUUAUUGUCGUCGUCUUCUGGGGCUGUACCAUGUAAUGAAGCUCCAAAUGAUCAACCUCUGAUGCCUCAUCCUUCUGGGGUUCUGUCCAGUACUGAGGCUCCGGAUAACCACCCUCCGGUGCUUUCUCUUUCUGGGGCUCUACCGACUGCUGAGACUUCCCCUGAGCAACCUUUGUGAAGGCUCCCUCUUGUUUGUUUAUUUUGAUUCAUGUAUAUGUACAUAUUUGUAACUUAUCGGAAAUAUCAAUAAACAAGAUUUGCUUCAUUUCAACGUAUUGUGUUAAAUACACCAAGGCCUUCUUCACUAAGUUCUUUGAAUUUUUCCUUUUGUUGAAGCUUGUAUGUUGAAACUUUGUGAGUGAAGCAUGUAGGUUGAGGUAGUGCUCCCUUAAUUUCCCGAGUGAGGAAAACUUCUCGUUUGGAGACUUGAAAAAUCCAAGUCACGAAGUGGUCGUGAGACUUCCGAGUAUCAAGGUGCAGUAGCAUAUGGUAGGAGUCCCCCAAGUCUCUGGUCGAGGGAGUUGACGAAUGAGGCAUUUCCUUUCUAAGUGGUAGCCCAAAACUCCUUCUUCAUAUAUAUUUGUUAUGAAAGUUGUUAGGCCCAAAGAAGAUGAGGCCUAGGCAAUUUUUUUUUUUUUUUUUUUUUGAAUUUUUCAAAUUUCUGGAUUUUUUGAAUUUUCGAAUUUCCGAAAAAUUAAAAAUUAAAAAUAAUAUAUAUAUAUAUAUAUAUAUAUAUAUAUAUAUUUAAAAGCUUUAUUGGUGAAGCUUUGGUGUUGAAGCUUUGUAGGUGAAGCUUUGAGGUUGAAGCUUUGUUGGGCAUCAUGAAUUGAUUUUGCUUCACACUAUCUUGAUGAAGAGUGUGCGAAGCUUUUAUAUGUUUUGGUGUUGAAAUUUUGUAUUGUAGGUGAAGCUUUGGGGUUGAAGCUUUGGUGUUGAAGCUUUAUAGGUGAAGUUUUGGUGUUGAAGCUUUAUAAGUGAAGCUUUGGUGUUGAAGCUUUAUAGGUGAAGCUUUGGGGUUGAAGUUUUAUAGGUGAAGCUUUUGUUGGCACCAUAAAUUAAUUUUGCUUCACACUAUCUUGAUGAAGAUAGUGCAAAGCUUUUGAGAUUGAUAUUUGUCCUCCAUUGAUGAAGCUUUUGUUGGCACCAUAAAUUAAUUUUGCUUCACACUAUCUUGAUGAAGAUAGUGCAAAGCUUUUGAGAUUGAUAUUUGUCCUCCAUUCAUGAAGCUUUUGUUGGCACCAUAAAUUGAUUUUGCUUCACACUAUCUUGAUGAAGAUAGUGCAAAGCUUUUGAGGAUUGUAGUUGUGUUCCAUUGAUGAAGCUUUUGUUGAAUUUCCCAAUUUCCAAUUUCCUCUUUUUUUUUGUUUUUGUUUUUGUUUUUUUUUUUUGUUUUUGGGAAAACUAGAAAUUUGAAAAUGUGGGAGAGACAACGUAUACAAAUUUUGCUUCCAUACUGUUAAGCGAGAGAUUGUGAUGCAAGCCACAUCUUGUAGUAGUCGAAGGUUUGGAUGAACCAUAGAAAAUGAAUUUGCUUCGAACAGUCUUGAUCAAGAGCGUUUGAAGCUUUCUAUGAGUUGUAGUGUUUGCAUUGUUACAGAGGAGAAAUGUUUGAAGCAGAUGCAAGAGGGCUGAAGAGCUUGAUCUUCGUAUACCAUGCACUGAAGCCAUUGUUGGCUUGCAAUAAGACUUUGUUGGUGACUAUAGCUCUUGUUAGGCAUAAGUGCUCCCCUAGUUGAGUUGUAAAGCUUGAUGGUUUUUUAUUAUUUGUGAAUGCUAGGAGUUCACAUGUACAAGUUGUACCACUCGUCUUCUGGUUAGUGGAAUGAAUGGUGGGUUGCUUUCAUCACUUGGUUGGUGGUACGAAUGUGAAUUCCUUAAUCACCUUUCAUCACAUUUCAUCACCUGGUUGGUGACAUGAAGGAGAGUACGCGUUGUACAUUUCAUCACCUGGUUGGUGGCAUGAAGGAAAGUACGCGUUGUACAUUUCAUCACCUGGUUGGUGGCAUGAAGAUGAGUUCCUUCUUCACCUGAUUGGUGAUAAGGGUGGCAAGUUUCCAAAUAAUAUUAGAGUACAGGUUGUACAUUUCAUCACCUAGUUGGUGGUACGAAGGUGAGUUCCUUCAUCACCUAGUUGGUGAGAAUAAGGGCAAGGUGUCGAGGCACAUUUUUGGCAAAUGUCGAAUGACACAAAGUGUGUUGAACCCUUUCGAAGCACAGUUGGCUUAUGUAUAGAUGUGUUGGAAUGUAUGAUGUUUAUGCAUGAAUGUGUUGGAAUGUAUGAUGUUUAUGUAUGAAUGUAUUGGAAUGUAUGAUGUUUAUGUAUGAAUGUGUUGGAAUGUAUGAUGUAGAUCCUUUGUAUAGUCUUGUUGACACAUACUUAGAUUUUGUUUUUGUAUUGGAAACAUUUGCGUUGAAGCUUCAACACUUGAGUGUUUCAUUGCUCAGAAUGUAAAAGAGUUUAUGGCCGAGUUGGCUAAAUCACCUCUUUAUUGAAUUCAUACCAAAUGGUCUUUGUUACAUAGGAUGCCGAACGGCUGUAGCUUAACACUUGUACAAUGUGAGUUUAUUUGUAAUAGUACUUCAAGUGGUCAGCAUUCCAUGGAUGGCCAAGGGUCUUGCCAUCGGAGUUUCUGAGCUUGUAGGAGCCAGGGCGGCUGAUGCCGACGACCUCAAACGGUCCGUCCCAGUUAGGACUGAGUGUUCCUUCACUCGGGACCCUAUCACAGAGUAAUCUUUUCUUCAGUACCCAGUCUCCCACUUUGAAAGAGCGAGGUUUGACCCUUGAGUCGUAGUAGUUGGAAAUGCGCUGCUUGUAGGCGACAUUCCUCAGGUGAGCCUGAUUUCUGUGUUCCUCGACUAGAUCCAGGUUGAGGGUGAGUUGUUUGUCGUUCUCACUCUGCAUGUAAUUCUGGAUUCGGUAUGUUGCUUGCUCAAGCUCAACCGGGACAACUGCUUCUGUACCAAAAGCAAGUGAGAAUGGAGUUUCUCCUGUGGAAGUCCGAUAUGAAGUGCGGUAUGACCAAAGAACUUGGGGUACGAAUUCUGGCCAACAACCUUUAGCUUUGUCCAAGCUAGUUUUCAGAGUGCGCUUGAUUAUUUUGUUAACGGCCUCGACUUGUCCAUUAGACUGGGGAUGGGCUGGAGAGGCAAAACAUAAGUUGAUGUUGAACUUAGAGCAGAACAUCUUGAACUUCUUGUUGUCGAACUGCCGCCCAUUGUCCGUGACUAUCGCAUUGGGAAUGCCGAAUCUACAGAGGAUGUUCUUCCAUACGAAGUCUUCUAUUUUUUCCCUCAGUAAUGGUUGCCAAGGGUUCUACUUCAGCCCACUUUGUGAAGUAGUCAACUGCAACGAUUGCAUAGCGGACCUUGCCCUUCCCUGCAGGCAUUGGGCCGAUCAAAUCAAGUCCCCAUUGGGCGAAAGGGCCAAGGGCUGAUCAUAGGAGUGAGCGGCUCGGGAGGGGAGUGAGGGAAUAGUUGCGUAGCGUUGACACUUAUCACAUGAGCGAGAUAUUCUGAUGGCAUCUUGGUGGAGUGUUGGCCAAUAGUAUCCUUGGCGAAAAGUCUUGUGUGCUAGGGAUCGAGACCCAGCAUGAUCUCCGCAGACUCCUUCAUGUAUUUCCCGAAGGACAAUUUCCGCCUCCGCAGGUGUAAGGCAUUUUAGGUAGGGCAAGGUAAAACCGCGCUUGUAGAGUUGGUCAUUAAUGAUCAGGUAGCGAGCAGACUUGUAUCGAAUCUGCUUAGCUUGGACUUUGUCAUUUGGGAGGGUGCCAUGGGCAAGGAAUUUAUAAAUUGGGGUGAUCCAACUAUCUCCUUGUUGUAAAUUGCACACUUCCGCGACCAUGGUGCUUGGUGCUGCCAACAAUUCGACAUGAAUUUUUCUCCCAAUCUUGUCUUCCACUGCCGAGGCGAGGCGGGCCAAAGCAUCUGCAUGACUGUUUGCCGCUCGAGGAACUUGGGUGAUCUGGUAGUGGAAGUGCUUGAGCAAAAGUCGUGUUUGCGCAAGAUAUGCUGCCAUGGAGCUAUCCUUAGCAUCAAAGUUGUUCGUGACUUGGUUGACCACUAAUUGGGAGUCACUGAAGAUAUCAAUUUGUUUAAACUCCAAGAUGCUUGGCCAAACGUAAGCCUGCUAGAAGGGCUUCGUAUUCGGCCUCGUUGUUCGAUGCCUUGAAUUUGAAACGAAGAGCGUAUUCUAUCGCCACUUUGUCAGGGGUAGUGAGGACUAAUCCUGCUCCGCAGCCCUGUUGGUUGGAUGAGCCAUCAACAUACAGACUCCAUGCUGGGGUUGUUGAUUCUAUCUUCUGAGCUUCCGAUGGUAAUGAAGCUAUUGCUUCAGGUGUAGAAGCAAUGUCAACAGGAUAUGUGAAGUCGGCGAUGAAAUCUGCUACUGCUUGACCCUUUUCGGCUGGUUUUGGUUGGUAGGAGAUGUCAAACUCACCCAAUGCUAUCGCCCAUUUGAUCAUUCGCCCAGACGUGUCAGGACUUUGGAGUAUCUGUCGAAGAUGGUGAUUGGUAAGCACGAUGAUGGCGUGUGCUUGGAAAUAAGGGCGAAGUUUUCGAGCAGACAUGACCAAUGCUAGAGCUAAUUUCUCAAUGUUGGAGUAUCGUGUCUCCGCAUCUUGUAGGGCCUUGCUAGCAUAGUAGACGGGCCGUUCGACACCACUGUCAUUUCGAAUAAGAACAGAACUGACUGCUGAAGCCGAAACCGAUAGAUAGAUAAUGAGAGUGUCACCAACUUCUGGUUUGGAGAGCAGAAUGCUUUACUCAUGUACUCUUUGAGGUUCCUGAAUGCCUUGGCACAUUCCUCCGUCCAUGUAAUGUACUUCUUAUUUCCCUUGAGUGCUUUGAAGAAAGGAGCACAUCUGUCUGUGGCCUUAGAGAGAUGAAUCUGGUUAAGGCUGCCACCUUGCCAGUAAGGCUUUGGAUGUCUUUUGAAGUUACUGGCUCUUUCAUGUCGAGGAUUGCUUUGAUCUUUUCGGGGUUAGCUUCAAUGCCUCGUUGGCUAAUCAUGAAGCCUAAGAAUUUGCCAGAGCCCACGCCGAAGGCACAUUUGUUGGGGUUCAACCUCAUUCGAUACCUCUUUAGAAUGGUGAAAGUUUCAGAUAGGUUGGUGAUGUGUUGGUCAGCAUGUUUGCUCUUGACUAACAUAUCAUCAACGUAAACUUCCAUGCUCUUCCCAAUUUGUUCGGCGAACAUUGAAUUGACCAGUCUCUGAUAAGUUGCUCCUGCAUUCUUUAGACCGAAGGGCAUGACUUUGUAGCAAUAUAGUCCCUUGUCAGUAGUGAAGGCUGUGUGUUCUUGGUCUGAGGGGUUCAUGAGGAUUUGUUGUUGUAUCCUGAAUAAGCGUCCAUGAAGCUCAAAAAGCUCACACCCUGCCGUAGAGUCUAUAAGUCUAUCAAUGAGAGGAAGGGGGAAACUAUCCUUCGGGCAUCCUUUGUUUAGGUCGGUGUAGUCGACAGUCGACACACAUUCUCCACAAGACCUUUUGAAGCAGGAGACUUUCCUUGGUCGGAUUUUUCUUAACAAGGACAACAUUUGCUACCCAUGUUGGGUAAUUGACUUCACGGACGAAGCCUAUGUCCUUGAGUUUUUCAACUUCUGCUUUCAUCGCCUCGUAUCGUUCAACAUCAUAAGAUCUUCGCUUCUGUUUUACUGGUUUGGUCUUGGGAUCAAUACUCAAGUGGUGACAGAUGAUAUCGGGAGAGAUGCCCGGCAUAUCUUUAUAUGACCAAGCGAAGACCUCGGCGUUCUCUUGCAAAAAAGGAGAUCAGCGACAACCGAAGAGGUGGUGACAAAGUGGUGCCAAUCUUCACCAUGCGAUCUGGAUGGUCUUUGGAGAUAGAAACAUUCUCUAACUCUUCAGCGGGUUGUGCUUGCUGGGUGAAUGAGUCAUCUCGAGGGUCGUCGGGUUGACUGUUGCCAUCAUGAAGAUCCGAGUUGGCUUCAUCUGGACUGGUCUUUACUACCUAGUUAUGUAUAGAGAGGGUCUCCUUGGGGACAGGCAAGUGUUGUUGCUUAAGUGAAGUGUUGUAACAUGAUCGAGCACUAAGUUGAUCUCCCCUGAUGUAUCCAUUGCCGAAAGGGGUUGGAAACUUCAUCAACAACAUAUGCGUGGAUACCAUGGCCUUGAGAUCAUUGAUGCCUGUGCGCCCAAAGAUGACAUUGUAUGCCGUUGGGCAAUUGACCACUAGGAAGUUAGUGGUAAUAGUAGCUGUGUAGGGGCCUGUACCAAUGGUGAGGGGUAAGUGUAUACUCCCUAAAGGUUGCACGAUAUCGCCAGAGAAGCUUAUCAGAGGAGAAAUCGAGCGAUCGAGCAAGUGUUCAGCUACAUUAAGUGCCUUGAAAGCUUCAGCAAACAUGAUAUUAACUGAAGCACCUGUGUCUAUCAGGAUUCGUUUCACAUCAAAAUUUGCUAUGUGAGCCUCCACGAUCAGCGGGUCGUUGUGAGGGUAGAUGAUACCUCUUUCUUCCUCAGGGUAGAAACAUAUUGAAUCCCAGUUAGGCUUUUGAUACUUGUCUCCCCUGAUGUCUUCCACGUGAAACACUUGAUGGCCAGGUCUCAAAGUUCGUUCACUGUUUUUCAUGGCCCUAUUGGAAGAUUCAGACAUAGGUGUGCCGCCACUUAUAGAAUAUAUCACAUUCACCUGGCGUUGGUUACGGUUAUCCCUUGGAGGGUGAAGGAGAAACUGAUCAAAUUUUCCUUCACGUGCCAAAGCUUCAAUAUGAUCACGGAGGAUGACGCACUUCUCGCCAUCAUGGCCAUUAUACUCGUGGUAGCAGCAAAACAUGCCCGUGUUUUUCAUGGACUUGUAAUCUGGCUGUCUUGGCUUUGGCUUUGGUAUCAGAUGAGCUAUACUUGGGUAGAUGGCCGCGCAUGUAGCGUUCAAAGGUGUGUAUGUCUCAUACCUCGGGGUAGGGCCUGUCUUGACAUAUGAUUGGCCCACUGCAUUGGCUGCCUGGGGUCGGGCGUUAUUGUGACAAUAUCCUGAGUUAUCGCGAUAGUGCCCCUUAUUCUUUUUAUUAAAAUGAGAUUGGUGAGGAUGGAAAUCUUUCCUUUUGCCCUGGGAUUGAUAUGUCUGCUGACUUGGCGAAGCAUUAAAUGAGGCAGGGGGUGUGCUGCUACCGUUUGGAAGGUUGAGGUUUUCUCAUUCGGUUGGAUCUGGCCUUCACUCCCUACUUGCUGAUAAGGGGUGACUGUAGCGGGUUUCCCUUGAUAUGUCCUUGCCUCGGCGGAAGCAUGGUUGUAAGCUUGUGCCAUCACCUCAGAGUAAGUCUUCCAAGUGUUGGCAUUGAUCAUGUACUUAAAAAAACAGUCACGUAAGCCUGCCGUGAAGGCCUUGAGGGCAGUCUUGUCAUCUGCCUCAGCGCAACGAGAAUACUCAUGGCUGAAGUAGCCAGCAUACUUUCGUAAUGACUCGUCCGGCUUCUGGCGAAUAGUGUACAAGUCAUCUGCGGAAUGCAAGCGAUCGGUCUGGAAGAUGUGUUGAGAGACAAACAGCUUCCUCAACUCUUCAAAUGAGUCUACUGUCUCAGGUGGAAGACGGCAAUACCAGUUUAAAGCUCCGCCAGAGAGGGUAGAGGGGAAGAGAAGGCACCGUUCUUCGUCGGUGUGUCUCCGGUAUACCAUGGUGGACUCAAAGAGGUUAAGGUGUUCAAUCGGGUCUUCCUUUCCAGUAUAGAGUUGUAAGCCAAGCUUCUGCUUUGUCUUUGCUUGGAGGGUGGUGUUGAGGAUCCUUCUUGUGAGGGGGCCAGGCCUGGGUUGGUUCCAGUCAGGUAUCUCGGCUUGACGUUCAGCCUUCAACUUGUUUACUUCCUCCAGAAGUUGUAGGACAAGGGGGUCCUGAGUGGAGUCGUGCACCACUGAAGUUUUCUUCCGUAAGUCCCCAUCGCCUCUUGGAAGUAGGAAAGUUUGAUCAAGAUAGCAUGAUAUUUUCUUGGACUCGUCACACUGACUCCUAGAGUGAGUAUGUCGGAACAUUUCCGAGUCCCCUGUACCUUCAUGUUCUUAUGGGACUUGUUGCCCAUUCCCUAGAUUAACUGCUGGCCUGGGUCGUGGGAGAGGACCGAGUCUUUCAGAAACUCUUGGGUCAUUGAUCUUUGAGCUUAUGUGGAUGGGAUUCUCUCGACGUUGCUUUAGGAAGUCUCGACAAUAGCCCUAGACGGCUUUUGAUCCUUCCACUCCUUCUGUGAGGAGGUGUUUUCCUCUACUCCUUCUGCUUCGGGUUGAAGCAGUUGGAUUGAGAGAAGUCUCAUGUUGAUUAUCACAUUGAUGUGUAGCUCGAUCCCUAUCAGGGAUAUCCGUGUUGGAUAUCAGUGACCCUCCGUGUUGGGGGGCAUUCAGAUGAUUGUUGACCUCAGCAGGGGCGACGAGCUUGUGUGCUUGAGCAUGCCUAGCCUCGUGAAGCAUCUCGAAAAGUUUUUCAUACUGCUCCUGGAGGACCUCGUUCCUCAUCACUAUCUUGUUGUUCUGAGCUUCUAACUCAUCGACUUUAGCUUGAAGAGUAACUCUAUUUCCUUCCUGCUUUCGUUGCUUCAUACUAGGUCCAAUAGGGGUGUCAUUUUGUGUGCUAUGGCUUCUUUCGCCCCCCAUGUUGGAGAGAGAUGUUUGGCCAAAAGAAAGUGUACGAGCGGUGGAAACCAGCUUAACAAAGCUGAAGAGAGUGGGAGUAAGUGUCUUUCCCACAGACGGCGCCAAAUGUUGAUGCACAAAAUCAGCGAGGACUUUGGUACAACAGAAAGUGUCAGGUUUGUGACCUUCGCUUGGUUGCUUCGAUCACUAGUGAAGAUAAGUACGUAAAUGAAUAGGGACAGGGAAGCAAACACAAGAUACGUGGUUCACCCAGAUCGGCUACGUCCACGGAGUAGAGGAGUUCUCAUUAAUUGUGAAGGGUUUACACAAAUACAUAGGUUCAAGCUCUCAUUUUGUGAGUUCUAGUGAAUAGUUUAGUACAAAAUGACAUUAGAGAUUAUUGUGGGAGAAUGAUCCCUAUUUAUAGAAGAGAGUUUCUGGUUUUGUUCUAACAUUGACACAUGUCGUGUUGUGAUUGGCUUCUGAUGUUAACACGUGUCGAGCUGUGAUUGGCUUCUGAUGUCGACACGUGUCGCAUUGUGAUUGGCCUCCUGGUUGAAGGGAAGCUCUUCUGGGUCCUUGACGGUAUAACGUUGACCGGUGCUCAGUAGUUUCGGGAUUGGUCAAGUAUGGUACAAACAUCUAGAAUGAUUGAUGACCUUCGCGCUCAGGAGGAAAGUUUUUUGCAUCAAAGAUCUCGUGUUCAGUGGUUACGUGAAGGAGAUGCGAAUACUAAGUUCUUCCAUCAAUCGACAUUACAACGUCGCCGGCGGAACAAGAUUUUUAAAUUGAAGGAUGGAGAAGGGCAAUGGGUUGAGCAUCCGGGCAGGGUUCGUGAGUUAGUUGAGGAACAUUUUAUCUCUUUAUUCAAGUCAGGGGGACCGAGGAACUGGGGUACCAUUUUGGACUGCAUGCAUCAGGGUGUUACUAAGGCGAUGAAUUUGGAGCUAAUUACGCCGAUGUCUGAGGAGGAAAUUAAGAAGGCAGCGAUGAAUAUGGGGAGCCUCAAAGCUCCUGGUCCAGAUGGCUUCCAAGGGUUUUCUUACCAGUCUUUUUAGGAGCAGCUUCGGGAUGAUGUUAACAGUUUGGUCAAAUCUUUAAUACAUGGUACGGCUAGUCCUCGUACUCUCAAUGCUACUCAUGUGGUUUUAAUACCUAAGGUCCCUCAUCCGGAAACGGUUUCGUAGUUUCGCCCCAUUAGUCUUUGUAAUUAUUCUUAUAAGGUUCUGUCUAAAGUUUUUGCAAUCGAUUGAAGGGUGUUCUGCCGCAUAUUAUCUCUCCAUCUCAGAAUGCCUUUGUGGCUGGUCGGCUGAUUCAUGAUAAUAUUGGAAUAGCACAUGAGAUUUUUCAUUUCUUGAAAGGGCGAAAGGCUAAAAAUAAGUUUGAGAUGGGUAUAAAGCUGGAUAUGCAGAAAGCCUACGAUCGGGUGGAAUGGGAUUUCCUUGAUGCUAUUAUGGCUAGGAUGGGGUUUUGUAGCGAAUGGAGGCAAUUAAUUAUGAGAUGUGUGUUUUCGGUGCAGUUUGCUGUCCUCUUUAAUGGACAACCCAGUAAGCAGUUUAAUCCUUAUAGGGGUCUCAGGCAAGGUGAUCCUCUAUCCCCGUAUUUUUUUCUGUUGGUUGGGGAGGUCAUUUCUUGUCUGAUCCAGGAGGCGGUGGAUACGAUGAUGCUGGAAGGAGUGAAGCAUGGUGCCUCAAGGCCUGUCAUUUCUCAUAUGUUUUUUUACGGAUGACACUCUACUUUUUCUAAAGGCUGAUGCAAAAAAUUGUCGGAAUUUGGUUGACAUUCUUGAGAGGUACAGUGUGGCCUCGGGCCAGAAAGUGAAUUUGCAAAAAUCUAGUGUUUACUUUAGGGCGAACAUUCCUUUGCAGGUUUUUGAUGAGUUGGUUAAUGUUCUUGGUAUCCCUGCGGUUGCUAAUCCUAGAGCUUACUUAGGCGUUCCGGCUAUUUGGGGGCGGUCCAAAAAACGGGGUCUUGCCUAUGUUAAGGGGACAAUUUUGGGGAAGUUGCAAGGAUGGAAGCAAUGUAUUUUAUCUCGAGCAGGGAAAGAAGUCUUGAUUAAGGCGGUUGUACAGGCUAUUCCUGCCUACCCGAGCAUAUUUAAAUUUCCUGCUAUAGUCUGUCAGGAGUUGGAUGCUCUGGUGGCUGGCUUUUGGUAGGGUAGUCUUGGGGAAAGGCGGAAGACUCAUUGGGUUUCUAAGGCUGUUCUUAGUCUUCCGAAGAAUAUGGGAGGUUUGGGUUUUCAGAAUUUCAGUGAAUUUAAUGAUGCUUUGUUGGCUAAGCAAUGUUGGCAAUUGAUAACUGAUCCGAAUUCUCUUUGGGCUCGAGUUCUUAAGGCCCGUUAUUUCCCGAACUGUUCCUUUUGGGAUGCCAAAAAAUGAGGGAGGGCUUCUUGGGCUUGAACUAAUAUUAUGGCUGGCAGAGAGGUUCUUCGGCAUGGUUCUCAUUGGUAAAUCAUGUGUGGUGAAGAUGUGCGUGUGUAGGUGAAUCGCUGGCUUCCAUCUUUACCUAAGAGGCAUCCAAUACCGCUUGGGGUGGUUGCGGUUACUCCCAACCUGAAGGUUAAUUCUCUUAUUCGGCCUGAGUCACAUGAGUGGGAUAUUGGUUUUUUGCAGGCGUUUAUUUCGGAAGAGGAGCAAGCUGCCAUCAGACUUACCCCUCUUGGCGAUUUUAGUCGGAAAGACCGAUUAGUUUGGGAUGCUAGUAAGAAUGGACAACACUCGGUUCGGUCGGGAUAUCAUUGGUUGCAAUUGAGGUCUAUUGAUGUAAGGGAUCAACGCUAAUCAAGAGCUCGCUUAGUUCCGAGGCAACUGUGGUUAAUAGUCUGGAAGUUGAAUGGGCCUCAUAAGCUCUGUCAUUUCUUUUGGUUAUCAUUGCAUAAUGCCUUACCUACUAGGGCUGUGCUUUUCCGUCGAAGAUCCUCCCCUUCCCCAAUUUGUCCCAUUUGUCUUUGUCAGGAUGAAACUGUGGAGCAUUUAUUCCUACUAUGUCCGUGGGUGGAAGCUAUUUGGUUUGGAGGUGCUCUUAAUUAUCGGGUUGAUAGAGAUGGUAUUCAAUAGUGGGCGAGCUGGUUGCAGGCUGUUUUCACUCUUAACCUUGGGUCUACGGCCGAUAUGCAAUGGGUUCAAUCUUAUGUUGCUUUUACUUGUUGGUGCAUUUGGAAAGCUCGUUGUAAUUUUGUUUUUAAUUAGGUUCCCAUUAAUCCUACUUCGUUAUUGUUUCGGUUAUCUUUUAUGGUUGGGUCUUACUGGGAAGCGGAGGGUUUCACGAGGACAGAGGGCUUGGUGGUUCCUGCUUGGCAUGAUUUGGUUCCUCGGUGGAUCCCUCCAACAUCUCAUUUUAUUAAAAUUAAUGUUGAUGCUAGCUGGUCUAAGGUGUCUAAAAUGGGCUUUGUUGGGGUGGUCAUGCGUGCGGAGGGAGGGAGUUUUGUAGCGGCUGUGAGGUAUGCUAUUUUGUCCCUUAAUGUUGUUGCAGCAAAAGCUUUUGCAUUAUUGCGUGGCUGUGAGUUGGGCACCUCUUUGGGGUGUAGUUCAGUCAUUUUGGAAUCGAAUUCUCGUGAAUCCAUAUCUUGUCUUUCUGGUGCUAUGGAUUCUGGCAGUUGGGAGGCUUUCCCUAUCUUGGCAAGAGUCAAGCAAUUGAGUGAAGCUUUCCAGUUCUGUCGCUGGUCAUGGGUUCCAAGAUCAGCCAAUUCUGAGGCGGAUUUUCUUGCGUCGGUUGGUUUUCCGGAGAUGUGUGAUCGAGUUUGGGUUGAAAGACCCCCAUCUUCGUUGGUGCAUGUUUUGAACAAGGAUGGCCUUCCUUGUCCACAUUGAUUUGGUGUGGCGGUGAUUGGGGGGACGCUCAAUUUGGUUGUAGCGUCUUCUUGUUUGUAUCCCCUUCCAUCGCUUUCUUUCUCUUUAUGCUUGUUUGGUGUUAGCCUCUCGUAGACUUUCCUGUAUUUUUUUGCUUCUUCCUUGGAAUGUCAUUCCUCUUCCAAAAAAAGAAAAACAAGUGAUCAAUCUCAUGGGUAUGGUGUCGGUGAGCAUAGACAACAGCAGCCUCAUGGCAGUCUUGGAAGUGAAAUGCGUCGUUCUGGCAGAUCAAGCUCGAGCCAAGGCCAGUCCUGAGAAAUUGGGGCCCUAGGCGAGCCUUCGAGUAGGGGCCCUAAAGUUCUUUGACGCCCGACUCAUUGUACAUUUAUAUGUAUAAGAAAAGGUUUCGCUAUAUACAUGAAAAAGUUCAUUUCUACAUCAAAAAUCAUUAGAAUUCAUAUCCAAAGAAAAAGAUAUGCAAACAUUACUUAAAUAUUACACGUCUCGCGUUUUUAGACACAAAUGUACUAAUUAAGUUUACAUAAUCUAACUUUUCAACCAAUUCUUUUUCAAUUGACAAAUAAACAAAUCAUAAACCCUAGAAUAAGAAUCGAAAAUCCUAAUUAUAUUUACAAACACAUCACUCACAAAUUAAAUUAUAGAAAAAGAAGCAGAAGAGAAGAGAAGCAUUGAUCAGUGAGGACCAUGAGGUUGCUUGACCUCUGUAAGUGGGAAAGAACCGAUUCGCAGGCGCCGGUUUGUUGUGCGUUAAAUUCCCAAAAAAAAAAGUUGAAUAGUUGCUAAAGUUGCACCCCACCCAAAACACUUUGGAAGCCAAGUUUCAAAACAAUUAUAUGAUUUUAUAUUUGAAUAUUUUAUUAAAUUCAAACUCAAAAAAUAUAUUUAAAUAUAUAUAUACACACACACACAUAUUUAAAAAGAAAUAUUUUGGGGUCCCCCACCCAAAACACUGCAUGGCAAGUUCCAAAAAAAUAUUUAUAAUUUCAUAUUUAGAUAUUUUAUUCAAACUACAAAAUUAUAUAUAUAAUUGUUAUUGGUACUCUAAAAUUCUCAUUUUACAUUCCAAACUUUCUAUAUUUGGAAAGAAAAAUACACUUGUGAAGAGUGUAGGAUGAAAUUUUUGGAAUGUUAGUAACACUUCUCUCUCUCUCUCUCUCUCUCUCUCUCUCUAUAUAUAUAUAUAUAUAUAUAAUUUGGGCCCCCCGAAGUGGGGGCUCUAGGCAGGCGCCUACUUGGGCUACUCUCAGGGCCGGCCCUGGCUCGAGCGUAAGACAUAUCUUAAUUUUUCUCUCUAUUCACAAGUUCUCUACACUUCAGUUUGUUGUUUUCCACACCCUUGUUUCUUUUGAGUGUUACCACACCCUUGUUUCUUUUGAGUGUUAUGAGAAAACUAAAAACGAAAUGAUUAUUAACGGUUUUUUUUUUUUUUUUUCGAAUAAAUGAUAUUACUCACCUUAAGAGAAUGAGGAGUGGGUUAAGCCUCAUAAUAUACUAGCAAUAAUGUAGUUUAAAUUCGUAUUUGAUGAGAAUUGAAUUUAAGAUUUUUCACUUACAAGUGAAGUUGUACUAAGUGGCUAAGUGAUAAGGGUUUUUUUUUUUUUUUUUUUUUUUUGAUCUUUGAUUCAUUUGGUUGAUGUCUUGUAAUUGUCUCUGUUGGCUGUAGUCUGAGGAGGGUGAUGGGCAAGGUGGGAGAAGGAAGAAAAAGGGGCUGAAAGAGAGAAUAAAGGACAAACUCGGUGGGAGAAGCACAAGGACGAUCAGCAGCAAGCACAGACACAUGGCCAUGCAACCACAGCUGUCGGAACCACCACCGUCACAACCGAACCUGAGAAGAGAAGUAUGAUGGAGAAGAUCAAGGACAAGUUGCCCGGUCAUCAUUGCCACCACUAAUUAAAUUAGUUCUUCAAAGCGUUAAUUAGUUUAUGCAUGGACGGUAAUGUUCUGGAAUAUUAAUUUACUGUGUGUAUAAUAAAGAACUGUUGCAACUGUUCUAGCUGCAGAGUGCUUAUUUCCAAUUUUAUUAGUUUAUCUGAGUGUUAAAAGCAACACGUUGCAAAUUAGUAGUGAAGAAGAAAAUGUUUCAUUGGAUGUGUGUGGACGUACAAGAUGAGUUGGUAUUAAGAACCAAUAUAUUCAAGGUAAGGGAGGGGCAGUCUGAUGAUUUAAAGAUGUUUCAGUUAGAAUUUGCAAUUAUGAAGAUGCAAUUAUGAGACAUACAAGAAGGAAUGAGAUUAAGAAUGAAGAUAUUCAAGGUAAGGGAGGGGCAGCCGCAAUUAAAGAUGCAAUUAUGAAACCAUACAAGAAGGGAUGAGAUUAAGAACG